rnacentral:lncRNA from 1 species
CUGUACAGUUUGCUUAUAGGUUAUUUUGUGACCCGUUACUAGUAAGUUUCUAGUACCCUUGUCCUCUAUUUUGGACUUUCAUUAUUUGUAAAGACUUCAAAUAUACGUUACUGGUAAUGUCUCCAGUAUGAAUGUUAUUAAAAAUUACCCCUUUUAGUGACCAAACACCUUAGCAAACUGUACCUUAUAUAUUUACAUGUAUAUAUAUGUAUUGUGAUCUCAGUAUCUGUGCAUCUGGAGAAAAACUAAAUAUUUUAUUUAAGAUAGCUCAUGAAAUAGCUCUGGUACAGUCAAUCUAGCAUUUUAAUGUUUGUCAAAUU